rnacentral:rRNA from 1 species
UAGGGAAUCUUCCACAAUGGGCGCAAGCCUGAUGGAGCAACACCGCGUGAGUGAAGAAGGGUUUCGGCUCGUAAAGCUCUGUUGUUAAAGAAGAACACGUAUGAGAGUAACUGUUCAUACGUUGACGGUAUUUAACCAGAAAGUCACGGACUAACUACGUGCCAA